AUUGAACGCUAGCGGGAUGCUUUAUACAUGCAAGUCGAACGAGUGGCGGACGGGUGAAUCAUAUAUCGGAACGUGCCCAAUAGCGGGGGAUAACUACUCGAAAGAGGGGUUAUUACCGAAUACUAUUGGAGCGGGCGAUAUUGGAUUAGCUAGUUGGUAGGGUAAAGGCGAACCAAGGAAACGAUCCAUAGUUGGGUUGCGAGGACGACCGGCCACACUGGGACUGAGACACGGCCCAGAAUCCUACGUGAGGCAGCAGUGGGGAAUUUUGGACAAUGGGUGAAACCCUGAUCGAGCCAUGCCGCGUGUAUGAGAAGGCCUUCGGGUUGUAAAGUACUUUUGGCAGAGAAGCGGUAUCUGCAGAAAAAGCACCGGCUAACUACGUGCCAGCAGCCGCGGUAAUUC
rnacentral:rRNA from 1 species